rnacentral:lncRNA from 1 species
GCUCUUCGUCUGGUCCCUCGCAUGUGUCCCAGGAUUCCAUUGUGACAUCCGACAAUUCAACUUCGCAGACAUCAAUUGAGAUCCUAGGGUGCAAAGUCAAGGCAGCCACAGGCCCUUGUCCUCUGGGAGGUCCCACGGCCUCAGGAGAGGCAGCCGCGGGACGGAGGAUCACAACAGACUGUGACAAGGAGGUCCAUGAUGGAAAUGUUGGGAGAGGGUGGGGGGUCCAAGACAAGCCCCACCCAGCUUGCAUGUGUGCCAAGCCCAGGGAAGUAUCUGGUUACAAAGUUGGGUAAGACUCGACCCCUGUGCUUAAGGAGCCCAGGUGGAGGGACUGGGCGUGGUGGGGAGGCAAACCCACACCCAGGUAACCACGUGUCAAGUGCAACUCAAGGCAUUACGGGUGCCUGGAGCUGUGCCACCCGGAAGUCACACUGGACAAGGAUGAGAGUGUGUGGCAUACAGAGAGACAGCCCCUUGGGUCAGCGCUGCCGACUGCAAUUCAAUGCAAGACUUUGGGAUCCAGGAAAGGUUUCCUUUUGCUCAAGACCUUCAGUGAGCAGACAGAACCGGUCUUCAAGGAACCCACUUUGCAAGCACUGCACACCACCAGCCCGUGUAAAGCGAACAGCUUCCUGCAAUCAUUAUAGUCUGGGAGAGGCUGAGAGCACAUCCUCGUCAGGACAAGCAGUGGAGAGGAGGGGGCAGCACAGCCACUGUGCAGUGGGGGUGGGUGUGGAAGACCCUGGUGCAAUUUGUUCAUAAACUUGGUCUUGAUUUUUCCAGUGGGACCUGAUGGAAAAAAACAGAGUUGUGAAAUAAGAUUUCUUUCAAUCAUUCACACUGUUGUGCACCGAUCUUUUACAUUAACUAAUUGCACCC